rnacentral:rRNA from 1 species
GAUGAACGCUGGCGGCGUGCCUAAUACAUGCAAGUCGAGCGAAGCGGGGACGGGCGAGUAAGACGUGGAUAACCCCCUAUAAGACUGGGACAAUCUCGGGAAACCAGAGCAUAACAGAAUACGCAUAGAGGGAUCCGAGUGGGAUUAGCUAGUUGGUAGGGUACCGGCUUACCAAGGCAACGAUGCAUAGCCGACCUGAGGGGGUGAUCGGCAACACGGUAACUGAGACACGGUCCAGACUCCUACGGGAGGCAGCAGUAGGGAAUCUUCCGCAAUGGGCGAAAGCCUAACAGAGCAACGCCGCGUGAGUGAUGAGGGUCUUCGGUUCGUAAGACUCUGUUAUUAGGGAAGCGGUACCUAAUCAGAAAGCCACGGCUAACUACGUGCCAGCAGCCGCGGUAAUAC